UACAGGGGGGGCAAGCGUUGUUCGGAAUUACUGGGCGUAAAGGGCUCGUAGGUGGCCAACUAAGUCAGACGUGAAAUCCCUCAGCUUAACUGGGGAACUGCGUCUGAUACUGGAUGGCUUGAGUUUGGGAGAGGGAUGCGGAAUUCCAGGUGUAGCGGUGAAAUGCGUAGAUAUCUGGAGGACCACCGGUGGCGAAGGCAGCCUCGUGGGCCAACACUGACACUGAGGAGCGAAAGCCAGGGGAGCAAACGGG
rnacentral:rRNA from 1 species